rnacentral:rRNA from 1 species
GACGAACGCUGGCGGCGUGCCUAACACAUGCAAGUCGAACGAGAAUCUAUCGAAUGAUUCCUUCGGGAUGAAUUUGAUAGAGGAAAGUGGCGGACGGGCGAGUAACGCGUGAAUAACCUGCCCAUAAGAGGGGGAUAAUCCAUGGAAACGUGGACUAAUACCGCAUAUUGAGAUUUAACCGCAUGAUUUUAUCUUGAAAGAUUUAUCGCUUAUGGAUGGAUUCGCGUCUGAUUAGCUAGUUGGUGAGGUAACGGCUCACCAAGGCGACGAUCAGUAGCCGAACUGAGAGGUUGAUCGGCCGCAUUGGGACUGAGAUACGGCCCUU